ensembl:lncRNA
GGAUCUUGUCCUUUCGGUCAUGACCCAAAGCUCAUGACCAUAGGGUAAGAGCCUGAAAGACAUAAAUCAGUCAGUCAGUCUAUGAAGUGUCUUGGCCACGAAGAAAUUAUGCACACCACCAGUACCUGUGACAAAGGUGUUGAUGUUCCUGUGGUACACGGUCAACCAGAACAGCUUUCAGGAGAUGUCAGACAAGUUUCAUGUGUCACAGUCAUCAACACAGGAUCAUCCUAAAUCAUCCUAAAACUGCUCACCUUCAUCUCCACAAUGGGACCAACCUUCAUCUCCACAAUGGGACCAACCUUCAUCUCCACAAUGGGACCAACCUUC